rnacentral:rRNA from 1 species
UGCCGACUUACGAAGGGCCGUAUUUAUUAGAUAUCAGCCAAUAAGCAUCCGCUAUUGUGGUGACUCAUAGUAACUUAAUCGGAUCGCAUGGGCUCGUCCCGCGACAAACCAUUCAAGUUUCUGCCCCAUCAUGCUUUCGAUGGUAGUGUAUUGGACUACCAUGGCUUUCACGGGUAACGGAGGAUUAGGGUUCGAUUCCGGAGAGGGAGCCUGAGAAACGGCUACCACUUCCACGGAAGGCAGCAGGCGCGUAAAUUACCCAAUCCUAAUUCAGGGAGGUAGUG